rnacentral:rRNA from 1 species
AUUGCCCUCUUUCUUUAGGCCUAACACAUGCAAGUCGAACGGCAGCACAGUAAGAGCUUGCUCUUACGGGUGGCGAGUGGCGGACGGGUGAGGAAUACAUCGGAAUCUACUUUUUCGUGGGGGAUAACGUAGGGAAACUUACGCUAAUACCGCAUACGACCUACGGGUGAAAGCAGGGGAUCUUCGGACCUUGCGCGAUUGAAUGAGCCGAUGUCGGAUUAGCUAGUUGGCGGGGUAAAGGCCCACCAAGGCGACGAUCCGUAGCUGGUCUGAGAGGAUGAUCAGCCACACUGGAACUGGGACACGGUCCAGACUCCUACGGGAGGCAGCAGUGGGGAAUAUUGGACAAUGGGCGCAAGCCUGAUCCAGCCAUACCGCGUGGGUGAAGAAGGCCUUCGGGUUGUAAAGCCCUUUUGUUGGGAAAGAAAAGCAGCAGGUUAAUACCCCGCUGUUCUGACGGUACCCAAAGAAUAAGCACCGGCUAACUUCGUG